rnacentral:rRNA from 1 species
GAUGAACGCUGGCGGCGUGCCUAAUACAUGCAAGUCGAGCGAACGGACGAGAAGCUUGCUUCUCUGAUGUUAGCGGCGGACGGGUGAGUAACACGUGGAUAACCUACCUAUAAGACUGGGAUAACUUCGGGAAACCGGAUCUAAUACCGGAUAAUAUUUUGAACCGCAUGGUUCAAAAGUGAAAGACGUUCUUGCUGUCACUUAUAGAUGGAUCCGCGCUGCAUUAGCUAGUUGGUAAGGUAACGGCUUACCAAGGCAACGAUGCAUAGCCGACCUGAGAGGGUGAUCGGACACACUGGAACUGAGACACGGUCCAGACUCCUACGGGAGGCAGCAGUAGGGAAUCUUCCGCAAUGGGCGAAAGCCUGACGGAGCAACGCCGCGUGAGUGAUGAAGGUCUUCGGAUCGUAAAACUCUGUUAUUAGGGAAGAACAGAUGUGUAAGUAACUGUGCACAUCUUGACGGUACCUAAUCAGAAAGCAACGGCUAACUACGUG